AGUGAACGCUGGCGGCAGGCCUAACACAUGCAAGUCGAGCGGCCGUAGCAAUACGGCAGCGGCAGACGGGAGAGUAACACGUGGGAACGCGCCCUUCGGUUCGGGAUAACUCAGGGAAACUUGGGCUAAUACCGGAUACGCCCUUACGGGGAAAGAUUUAUUGCCGAAGGAACGGCCCGCGUCCGAUUAGCUAGUUGGUGAGGUAACGGCUCACCAAGGGGACGAUCGGUAGCUGGUCUGAGAGGAUGACCAGCCUCACUGGGACUGAGACACGGCCCAGACUCCUACGGGAGGCAGCAGUGGGGAAUAUUGGACAAUGGGCGCAAGCCCGAUCCAGCCAUGCCGCGUGGGUGAUGAAGGCCCUAGGGUUGUAAAGCCCUUUCAGCGGGGAAGAUAAUGACGGUACCCGCAGAAGAAGCCCCGGCUAACUUCGUGCCAGCCGCCGCAGUAA
rnacentral:rRNA from 1 species